rnacentral:rRNA from 1 species
UACAGAGGGUGCAAGCGUUGUUCGGAAUUAUUGGGCGUAAAGCGCGCGUAGGUGGCCUCGUAAGUCCGCUGUGAAAGUCCAAGGCUCAACCUUGGAAAGCCGGUGGAUACUGUGAGGCUAGAGUACGGAAGAGGCGAGUGGAAUUCCUGGUGUAGCGGUGGAAUGCGCAGAUAUCAGGAGGAACACCAAUAGCGAAGGCAGCUCGCUGGGACGUUACUGACACUGAGGCGCGAAAGCGUGGGGAGCGAACAGG